GCCUGGCGUGGUGGCUCAUGCCUGUAAUCCCAGCUACUCGGGAGGCUGAGGCAGGAGAAUUGCUUGAAUCCGGGAGGCAGAGGUUGCAGUGAACCGAGAUCAUACCACGGCACUCCAGCCUGNNNNNNNNNNUCGACCUCCCGGGCUCCAGCCAUCUUCCCGCCUCAGCUUCUCUAGUAGCUGGUGUGCACCACCAUACCAUGCCCAGCUUUUUUUUUUUUUUUUUUUCUGAGACAGAAUCUCACCCUGUCCCCCAGGCUGGAGUGCCGUGGUAUGAUCUCGGUUCACUGCAACCUCUGCCUCCCGGAUUCAAGCAAUUCUCCUGCCUCAG
rfam:Chlorocebus sabaeus isolate 1994-021 chromosome 20, whole genome shotgun sequence.